rnacentral:rRNA from 1 species
UAUUCGGAAGAACCCCGAUGSCGAAMGCAGCCUCCUGGGCCARGWCYGACGCUCAUGCACGAAAAGCGUGGGGAGCAACAGGAUUAGAUACCCUGGUAGUCCACGCCCUAAGMGAUGUCARCUARUUGUUCGGUGAGGAGACUCAUUGAGUAACGCAGCUAACGCGUGAAGUUGACGCYUGGGGAGUACGGCCGCAAGGUUAAAACUCAAAGGAAUUGWCGGGGACCCGCAAAAACGGUAAUGAUGUGGAUUAAUUCGAUGCAACGSGAAAAACCUUACCUACCCUUGACAUGCCAGGAACUUGCCAGAGAUGGCUUGGUGCUMGAAAGAGAGCCUGGACACAGGUGCUGCAUGGCUGUCGUCAGCUSGUGUCGUGAGAUGUUGGGUUAAGUCCCGCARCGAGCGCAACCCUUGUCGUUAAUUGCCAUCAUUAAGUUGGGCACUUUAGCGAGACUGCCGGUGACAAACCGGAGGAAGGUGGGGAUGACGUCAAGUCCUCAUGGCCCUUAUGGGUAGGGCUUCACACGUCAUACAAUGGUCGGUCCAGUUAAUUGCCAAGCCGCGAGGUGGAGCCAAUCCCAGAWACCCGUUUAUAGUCCGGAWGGAGACUGCAACUCGACUCCAKAAGUCGAAUCG